CCAUUUGUGCUUCUGAUGCAGUUUUCACUUUAUUUGACACUGUACCAGUAUGCACAGGCGACA
ensembl:miRNA